GUUGAGGAUGAAUGGUUACACAAAUAUCUCGUCAGAAUUGCUGAAGACUUGAAAGCAGAAUGUAGGCUAUGAUGCUGUUUGCUGGAGGUGUGGAAACCAUGACUCAAUAUCUGUGUGCAUUCGUUCAUCGUAGUUUGGCACCCUGCUAUGAUCUCUUGAGCUGUUCUCCUGUCAUGGACCACAAGCUUCAAGUAUGGCACUUGACAGAUGGUUUUCACGUGGAACUGAGAGAAGCAGAAUCGGACAUGGAUUUGAGAAAACUUUGAAAAGCAGGUUUGAACCAGAUUGGUGGUGGUGGAGAUACAUGACAACGUUUCUCAGUGCAAUGCAUCGAUGCUGAUAUGAGCUGGAGGACAUCCUCAUGUGACUUGAGUCAUCGACCAGAGCCUUCAAGUGUGGCUGUUAACAGCUGGUAUGCAGCAGAGAUUGGUGGAGGUGGGUGGAGAUUGAUGACUGCAAUGCAUGGAUGCUGAUGUGAGCUGGGCGGGCGGGCAUCGUGACGUCAUCCACCCUUCUGUCAUCACCCGAAGCCUCCAAGUAGGACAUGACAGAUGGUGAUGAGAUGACAUCAUGCAAGCUGAUGGAGGUGAACCGGGCAGUGAUGGAAAAAUAUUUGCAAUGCAG